AAGGAGCUUUCUGGAAGCUGGCCGUCGCCCGAGUGUGGUGAUGGUUCGGUUCAGGCUGUCGGGUCCUUGCGGGUCCGGUGGUGCUUCUGAGUGGAAUGUUGGCUAUGGACGCUUCUGGUCUUCGGGUCGGGGGUGGGAUGCACUGUUGGGGUUCUGGGGUAUCACCUGCACAGGUGGUGGCCUGGUGUGGCGGACAUCGCUGCCGGCUGGCCUGGUUGUCGGGUUGGUGUGGUGGGUGUCUCGUGUGGUGGUUGAGAACUGUACAGUGGAUAUGAGCAUCUUUGUAGAUUUUUUGUAAUGUGUUGUGUU
rnacentral:misc_RNA from 1 species